UACGAAGGGGGCGAGCGUUGUUCGGAAUCACUGGGCUUAAAGCGCAUGUAGGCGGGCCGCUUAGCACUUUGUGAAAUCCCUCGGCUUAACCGGGGAAUUGCUUGGUGAACGGGCGGUCUUGAGGCAGGUAGGGGCGCGAGGAACUGUUGGUGGAGCGGUGGAAUGCGUAGAUAUCAAGAGGAAAACCGGAGGCGGAGGCGUCGCGCUGGGCCUGUCCUGACGCUGAGAUGCGAAAGCCAGGGGAGCAAACGGG
rnacentral:rRNA from 1 species